rnacentral:rRNA from 1 species
ACGCUCGACACCUACGGGAGAGAGCAGUGGGGAAUAUUGCACAAUGGGGGAAACCCUGAUGCAGCGACGCCGCGUGAGCGAAGAAGUAUCUCGGUAUGUAAAGCUCUAUCAGCAGGGAAGAAAAUGACGGUACCUGACUAAGAAGCCCCGGCUAACUACGUGCCAGCAGCCGCGGUAAUCUGAGCGGGCUGGCAAGGC